UACGAAGGGUGCAAACGUUGCUCGGAAUUAUUGGGCGUAAAGCGCACGUAGGCGGCUUUGCAAGUCGGAUGUGAAAUCCCUCGGCUUAACCAAGGAAGUGCAUCCGAAACUGCAGAGCUUGAGUACUUAAGAGGAUCGCGGAAUUCCCGGUGUAGAGGUGAAAUUCGUAGAUAUCGGGAGGAACACCAGUGGCGAAGGCGGCGAUCCGGGAAGAUACUGACGCUGAGGUGCGAAAGCGUGGGGAGCAAACAGG
rnacentral:rRNA from 1 species